rnacentral:pre_miRNA from 1 species
AUCAUCUGGUGAUCUUGUUAAAAUGCAGAUUCUGACUCAGUAGGUCUAAAGUAGGGCCCUAGAUUCUGCAUUUUUAACAAGCUCCUGGGUGAUACCAA